CCUUGACAUGACCAGAAACUUUCCCGAGACUUGGCCUCCAGUUACAGAAGGAGUCACCCCCCUGCAAUCCCACAGCUCUGAAAGCCCCCAGCUGUAUAACGUUUGGGUCCAGAAGGAAACUUUGAUCCACAGAGGCUUUCCUUGUCCUGCUCUCUAACACCUUCUGGUGUCUGGAAGAGGGGCAGACUGGAGGAUUCUGAAGAGUUCGAGGUUUUAUAACUACCCAGCAGCACAUGAAAGAGGCCUCUUUCAGCAAGUAUUCUUGAUUAAGUCAUGAAAAUGGAAUUGAAGCUCAUCCUUCCCCUUCAUGUGAUUCCUUAGUGAGUGGCAUCUGCGCAGAAAACUGACAUGUGGACGCUGAAAAGCCAUGGCCACAUACAAGAAAGAUUUCCAAAUGCCAGAUUGCUGUGCAGUGGUACUUCUCUUCAUCCCAGACGCCCUAGUUGGAAGCAUCCACCCCUUUGGGCCUGGACACUGACUGUCUUUAAUUGGAAAAACUUAGUAUCACUUUGCAAGUGAUUAGAACUGAGUCAUCUGAAGCGAGCGAAAUUGGCUUUUGAGGA